rnacentral:tRNA from 1 species
CGGCGCCGAGGGCGGCGGCAACCGCGGUGCGCUGCUGGCCCGCUUCGCCGCCGCGUUCGACUCCCGCGGUGCCGGC